rnacentral:rRNA from 1 species
UACGUAGGGGGCGAGCGUUGUCCGGAAUUAUUGGGCGUAAAGAGCUCGUAGGCGGUUUGUCGCGUCUGGUGUGAAAAUCCAGGGCUUAACCCUGGACCUGCAUCGGGUACGGGCAGACUAGAGUGCGGUAGGGGAGAUCGGAAUUCCUGGUGUAGCGGUGAAAUGCGCAGAUAUCAGGAGGAACACCGGUGGCGAAGGCGGAUCUCUGGGCCGUAACUGACGCUGGAGGAGCGAAAGCAUGGGGAGCGAACAGG